rnacentral:rRNA from 1 species
GACGAACGCUGGCGGCGUGCCUAAUACAUGCAAGUCGAACGCUGAAGAGAGGAGCUUGCUCUUCUUGGAUGAGUUGCGAACGGGUGAGUAACGCGUAGGUAACCUGCCUUGUAGCGGGGGAUAACUAUUGGAAACGAUAGCUAAUACCGCAUAACAAUGGAUGACCCAUGUCAUUUAUUUGAAAGGGGCAAAUGCUCCACUACAAGAUGGACCUGCGUUGUAUUAGCUAGUAGGUGAGGUAACGGCUCACCUAGGCGACGAUACAUAGCCGACCUGAGAGGGUGAUCGGCCACACUGGGACUGAGACACGGCCCAGACUCCUACGGGAGGCAGCAGUAGGGAAUCUUCGGCAAUGGGGGCAACCCUGAACGAGCAACGCCGCGGGAGUGAAGAAGGUUUUCGGAUCGUAAAGCUCUGUUGUAAGUCAAGAACGAGUGUGAGAGUGGAAAGUUCACACUGUGACGGUAGCUUACCAGAAAGGGACGGCUAACUACGUG